CACAGGAGCGGAUUGAAUCAGCAAAAGCUUGAGAAUUGUAAUCCAGAAGGAAAAGCAGCUGACUUUAGGUAAGUUCUUACUCAUGCUUCAGAAGGUCUAUUUGUAACUGAUCCUAUGUCUUACUGUCCAUUGCCCGUCAGGUUGUUCCUUCCCUUAGUAGUUAUUUGUGCUAUCUGUUCGAGUUAUUGGAAUAGGGAAGUCAGCUAGCGUGUCAUCUCACGGUGAAAUAGUACCACUUAGUAUGCAGAUGUAUGGUUGUAGAGUGCUACAAAAAGUACAAAGCCACUACACUUUUCCUGGACCUUUAAAAAUGUUAAAAUAGUGGACUAAUGGAUGAAAAUUCGUUCUGGUGAUGUCAUAGAACCUGAUAAGAGAGUUCGUUUAGCACAUAAACUUGACGGGCAACCAGGCAGGUCAUGAGAUACGUUCAGACACCAAAACAGAAACCAGGAGCUCUUGAAAUGCAUCGAUAAUACUUCUUCAGACUGUUGGAUCGAUGUUACCUGAGGUAACUUACCUGCAGUCCAUGGUCAAGUUUAUUUGGUCUCUAUGCAUCCUUAUGGCUGCCGAGCAAUCAUGCACUAAGAAUUAAAGUUUUUAACUAAGGCUAUGUGGGAUGACAUUGGAGUCACACAGAUUGGGACUGUCCAAGAAAAGAGAAUUUUUUAUAGACUUCAGAUGUCAAACAUUGUCUCUUUGUUUCAGUGGAAGUGUUUAUUUUUAGCAGUGUUUGUUGUCCUUAUGUAUAAAAUGUGCUCUGUAUAAUGAUUCUAGCUAAGUCUGUUUUGGCUUCAUCAUGUUUCUGUUUAAAUGGUUCAAAUAUAGCUGUUAUAUUUUGUGAGCA